rnacentral:lncRNA from 1 species
GUGGCACUACCACUGUAGAUGGGAUAGGUUUCAAACAGCAGAAAGUGCCUCAGAGCAGGCUGGCCGACGUUUCGAUAGGGGACCUAUCUUUGUCAAAGGCGCCUUCUCAUACCUGGCGUGUUAGUUUCAAGGGGUUAGUGCUGACGUCAUGUCAAGCGGUGGCGCGUCUGUUGCUGUUGGUAAUUUCUGCCUGGAAAGAGAGAAACUCGAAAGCAGAGGAGUGUAGCCAUUGCCACAUUUCAAGAAAGUUUGCAACCACGUUCGGGUCUGCCGUUGCAGAGUUAAAUGGAGCUGUAAAGAAAGAAAAAGAAAAAAAAGACAAGAAGCGAAAAUAAAAAAA